GAGGGUAUAGCUCAGUGGUAAGAGUGCGUGCUUAGCACGCACAGGGUCCUGGGUUCCAUCCAGUACCUCCA
rnacentral:tRNA from 1 species